rnacentral:rRNA from 1 species
AACGAACGCUGGCGGCAGGCUUAACACAUGCAAGUCGAACGCGUGUAGCAAUACACGAGUGGCGCACGGGUGAGUAACGCGUGGAUAUCUGCCUUUUGGUUCGGAAUAACUCCGGGAAACUGGAGCUAAUACCGGAUGGUUCCUACGGGAUAAAGAUUUAUCGCCAAAAGAUGAGUCCGCGUACGAUUAGCUAGUUGGUGAGGUAAUGGCUCACCAAGGCGACGAUCGUUAGCUGGUCUGAGAGGACGAUCAGCCACACUGGGACUGAGACACGGCCCAGACUCCUACGGGAGGCAGCAGUGGGGAAUAUUGGACAAAUGGGGGCAACCCUGAUCCAGCCAUGCCGCGUGAGUGAUGAAGGCCUUCGGGUUGGUUAAAGACUCUUUUGGUCGGGGACGGAUGAUGACGGUACCCGGCAGAAUAAAGCCCCGG